rnacentral:lncRNA from 1 species
GGUUGCCAUUGGCUGGUGCCUUGCUGACCAAAGAAAGCCCAAGGGCGUGGCCCCCUUGGGGGAAGGUUUAUAAAGGGAGGUCAGGCCCACCGGGGGCAGACCGCUGGGAAGAGCUCUUCUGGGAAGCAUGGCGAGAUGUCCGCGUAGGAAGCGGGGGCGGCGUAGAGCUUCUGAAACCGCGGAAUCAACAACACUCCUGAGAAGGAAGAGAAGGGCGAUCUCACCACCUAAAUUUAAGGGCAAGGUAACCCAGAAACCAACCAGGGGCAAGAGUGCCGAUACACUGAAGAAAAUUACUCCUCACAUGGCCCAAGUUGAGCUGGGGACCCAAAGAGAGGGGAGGCAGCGGCAGGGUUUGCCCCGUGGCGCCAAAAGGAUGAGAAAAUGCGGGAAAGUGCGCCAGAGCAGGAGCGUGUCCAUGGGGGCACACGGAAGUUGCCAGAGAGCCCCCCACAUUCCCCUCCCAAAACCCGAGUCCAAGACAGGCCGGAAGCGAAAGCCAGCGAAGCAGGGCCGGAAGAGGUCCCGCCAACACCAGGGACCCUCAGGCUCGGGGAAGAAAAUCGCAGAGUCUCGUGGCCUGAGAGGCCGCAAGCCGCCCUACAAUCUGAAAAGUGGCUCGCGGUCUGGACACCGCAGUUGAGCGGCUCUGGUAGUCCCAAGAUUUUACACCAACACUUUCAAGUGAUGGUACAAUAACACCUACAUCUGCGAACCUCUGAGUGUGUCUGUGUAUUCUCUGGGGGUCGGGAGGAAGGGAGGAGAGAGGGAGGG